rnacentral:hammerhead_ribozyme from 1 species
UUCUAGCUGACGAGUCCUAAAUAGGAUGAAACCAGAGUCUUGGAU